rnacentral:rRNA from 1 species
UACGGAAGGCAGCAGUGGGGAAUAUUGCACAAUGGGCGCAAGCCUGAUGCAGCCAUGCCGCGUGUAUGAAGAAGGCCUUCGGGUUGUAAAGUACUUUCAGUCGUGAGGAAGGUGUUAAGGUUAAUAACCUUAGCAAUUGACGUUAGCGACAGAAGAAGCACCGGCUAACUCCGUGCCAGCAGCCGCGGUAAUACGGAGGGUGCGAGCGUUAAUCGGAAUUACUGGGCGUAAAGGGCACGCAGGCGGUUAAUAAGUUGGAUGUGAAAUCCCCGGGCUUAACCUGGGAAUGGCAUUCAAGACUGGUUAGCUAGAGUCUUGUAGAGGGGGUAGAAUUCCAUGUGUAGCGGUGAAAUGCGUAGAGAUGUGGAGGAAUACCGGUGGCGAAGGCGGCCCCUGGACAAAGACUGACGCUCAUGUGCGAAAGCGUGGGGAGCAAACG